rnacentral:tRNA from 1 species
UAUUACUCGUUUCGGAAACAAAAUUGCCUUGAAACCAAUUUUUAAGAGUUCAACUCUCUUAGUAAUAU